UUUAGUGUAUGGACGGAAAAGGUGAUUCAGUGUUCAGAGGUUACUGUUCAUGGUCAACGCUUCGAACGCUUCGCAUUCGGAUGUUUUUGAAAUAAAUCAGAGGUUACUGUUCAUGGUCAACGCUUCAAACGCUUCGCAUUCGGAAGUUUUUGAAAUAAAUAAUCAGAGGUUACUAUUCAAGUCAACGGCUCGCAUGCUUCGUAUUUGUACACAUUUCAACUAAGAUUAGAUUUGUAGUUUGUUUAAUUUUUUUUUUUUUUUGAAAAACCUGAAAAAUCAAAAAUAUUUUCUUUUAUUGAAAAAUUAAAAAUCCAAAAAGAUUUUGUUUCAGUUUGUCCUUAAUUUUUUGAAAAAUUACAAAAAUACCAAAUAUAUUUUUCAUUUUUUUAGUUUUAACAUGUGUAUUGUGAGUUUUGUCAAGUUUCAAAUACGAAGGAUUCAUGCGUCUGGUUUUGAAGGAAAGGUAUGAUCUCGAUACAUUUUGGAUUAGUUAGGAUGUCCCUAGAAGCAUGUUGCUGCAUGUUGUCUCAAGCCUCGUAUGAUUCUAUGUAUGGGAAAUGAAAGCCUUGAUGAAAUUAUCUCAUGAAAAUUUCUUCCCAACAAGGCUUGUAUUUGCAUAAAUCAAAAAGAGCUACCUUACUCUUCUCAAAUGAGUUAAGAGUUUUCUGUUUUGUACAUUAUAACAGAGGUACCCUUCGAUUCUUAACCAAUCUUUUUAAACCAAACAAUUCUUACAUUCCAAAUAUUCGAAGAUUUGUCCUUGAGGUAUUUGAUCAAACCAAUCAAAACCUAGACAAAUCACAA
rnacentral:lncRNA from 1 species